UACGUAGGGGGCAAGCGUUGUCCGGAAUCAUUGGGCGUAAAGCGCGUGUAGGCGGUUCGGUAAGUCUGCUGUGAAAGUCCAGGGCUCAACCCUGGGAUGCCGGUGGAUACUGUCGGGCUAGAGUGCGGAAGAGGCGAGUGGAAUUCCCGGUGUAGCGGUGAAAUGCGUAGAUAUCGUAAGGAAGACCAGUGGCGAAGGCGGGUCUCUGGACAGUUCCUGACGCUGAGGCACGAAGGUCAGGGGAGCAAACGGG
rnacentral:rRNA from 1 species